rnacentral:tRNA from 1 species
GCUCAGUUGGUUGAAUGUCAGACUCUUGAUUUCUGUUCAGGUCAUGAUCUCAUGGCUGUGGGAUCGAACCCCACACUGGUCU